CCAGUCAUAUGCUUGUCUCAAAGAUUAAGCCAUGCAUGUCUGAGUACAGACCGAUCUAAGGUGAAACCGCGAAUGGCUCAUUAAAUCAGUCAUAAUUCCUUGGAUAGUGAAAAACUUUCCUCGGAUAACUGUGGAAAAUCCAGAGCUAAUACGUGCAACUGAGCUCCGACCUAGGCGCGAGCCUUGGGAAGAGCGCAUUUGUUAGAUUCAAAACUGACCGGCGUACUCCUUCGGGAUACGCCGUUUGUUAAAAUUUGAUGACUCAGGACAACUAAGUCGAGCGCUCCGGUCUUUAGUACCGGCGCCGUAUCUUUCAAGUGUCUGCCUUAUCAGCUUUCGAUUGUAGGUUAAACGCCUACAAUGGCUGUAACGGGUAACGGGGAAUCAGGGUUCGAUUCCGGAGAGGGAGCCUGAGAAACGGCUACCACAUCUAAGGAAGGCAGCAGGCACGCAAAUUACCCACUCCCAGCCCGGGGAGGUAGUGACGAAAAAUAACGAUGCGAGACUCUUCCGAGGCCUCGCAAUCGGAAUGAGUCCAUUUUAAAUCCUUGGACGAGGAUCCAUUGGAGGGCAAGUCUGGUGCCAGCAGCCGCGGUAAUUCCAGCUCCAAUAGCGUAUAUUAAAGUUGCUGCGGUUAAAAAGCUCGUAGUUGGACUUUCUAGAUCCAUUUCGUGGGUGAGUCGCUCUUUGUACUAGCUUCUCGCGCGGUCCCUCGACGAAGUCGUCUCGCUCGUGAGCGCGUGCGUUCGCGUGUGCGUACUUCUUUUUCGGCUUAACGUCGUUUUAGAGGUUGCGCGCUCGCGUGUCUCCGCCUCGUUAGCAGGCGUUACCGAGUCCCGUGGGCGGCGAGGAGUUGUCUUAGAGUAUAGCUCGUCCGCGUUUGGUACAAUUAAAAUUUUGUCGGCUCGCUCGGAGUGCUCUUUACCGAGUGUUCCAGGGUGGCUGACACGUUCACUUUGAAAAAAUUAGAGUGCUUAAAGCGGGCUUAUUUACGGCCUGAAUGUCUGUGCAUGGAAUGAAGUAACAGGACCUCGAUUCUGUUGUUUUUGUCGGUUUUAUUGAACCGAGGUAAUGAUUAAAAGGGACAGACGGUGGCAUUAGUAUUGCGGCGCUAGAGGUGAAAUUCUUGGACCGUCGCAAGACUAACUACUGCGAAAGCAUUUGCCGAGAAUGUUUUCAUUAAUCAAGAACGAAAGUUAGAGGAUCGAAGGCGAUCAGAUACCGCCCUAGUUCUAACCCUAAACUAUGCUAACUAGCGAUCCGCCGGAGUCAUUCCCACGACCCGGCGGGAAGCCCCAGGGAAACCAAAGUCUUUGAGUUCCGGGGGAAGUAUGGUUGCAAAGCUGAAACUUAAAGGAAUUGACGGAAGGGCACCACCAGGAGUGGAGCCUGCGGCUUAAUUUGACUCAACACGGGAAACCUCACCAGGCCCGGACAUCAUAAGGAUUGACAGGUUGAGAGCUCUUUCUCGAUUUGAUGGGUGGUGGUGCAUGGCCGUUCUUAGUUGGUGGAGUGAUCUGUCUGGUUGAUUCCGAUAACGAACGAGACUCUACCCUACUAACUAGUCGGCGGAUCGUAACCCUGAGAUGGUUAGUUUGUAUAGGGGAGUUUUGCCCAGGCAAAGUCCUAUCUUAUAGAGUUAUGCCGCUGCUCGUUGUGCCGUGCGUUGCGUCCCGAGGGAUUUGCGGCGUUCGGUAUCUCGGGUGCGUGUGUGGCUCUAGAGGUUGCGGCUCUGUCGAAGCUGCUCUCUGAUUGCUGCUACUGCUGGGGGCGUCCGUCGCAAUGUAUCUUCUUAGAGGGAUCAGCGGCGUAUAGCCGCACGAGAAAGAGCAAUAACAGGUCUGUGAUGCCCUUAGAUGUUCUGGGCCGCACGCGCGCUACAAUGUAGGGCUCAGCGUGCUUUCCCUCUCCGAAAGGAGCGGGUAACCCGUUGAAACCCCUACCCGAUUGGGAUUGGGGAUUGCAAUUAUUUCCCAUAAACGAGGAAUUCCCAGUAAGCGCGAAUCAUUAAUUCGCGCUGAUUACGUCCCUGCCCUUUGUACACACCGCCCGUCGCUACUACCGAUUGAAUGAUUCAGUGAGGGCAUCGGACUGGCCCUUCGGUUUAGUAACCUAGACCUUAGGCUGACGGAAAGAUGUCCGAACUGAUCAUUAGAG
rnacentral:rRNA from 1 species